UAACAAAAGCAAGAAAAAACUUAACUUCCUCUUCCACACUUUUUAAUCAUAUUACUUUCUCUCUCACAUGUUCCAACUCUGUUUACAAAUCACCAUUGGAACUGUCAACUAAGCUCACAUCAAGUCAAUUCUCUAAAAGCAAGGGAUCGCCAAAUCAACGGAAUGGAGAACACGCUUCCCACCCCCCUGUCCAAAUUAAAGGGAUAACACAUAAAAGAAGAAGAGGGCGUCCACUCGGAUCACACAACAAGCCAAAAGGUGUGUCAUUACUACAAAGAUAAAUUAAAGCUAUACUUACACCCCGAAAUGACACAGGGAGGCAAGAGACUACUACAGUUACGAUAGCUUUGAGGUUUCGGAAACUCAAUCUAAUCAAAAUGAUACAUUAUACGCGAUUGAAUAUCUCAAUUCCAUGGAGUUUCCAGGACUGCCUUCUCAUAAACUCACUCUCAAAGUUGGGGCUCCGAUUAUGCUUCUGCGAAACAUUAAUCAAACAAAAGGAUUAUGUAAAGAGUGCUUAAGGCGGAUAUAAUUAUUGGCUCACACAUUGGAAAACAAGUUUUGAUCCCAAGAAUCGUCCUCUUGCAUGGUGAAACAAAGCUACCAUUCACUUUACGUCGACGACAAUUCGCUAUCAGAUUGUGUUAUGCAAUGACAAUCAACAAAAGCCAGGGGCAGAGCUUAAAAGAGGUUAUCCUAUAUCUACCUAGACCGGUUUUCGUACAUGGUCAACUCUAUGUUGCCCUCUCACGUGUAACAAGCAAAGCAGGACUAAAAAUCAUCAAAGGCGAAGAAGACUCACACAAACAAAAAGUGAAGAACAUAGUCUACAAAGAAAUCUUCAACCGCCUUCGUUCCCAUGAGAUAUUCGAGCUAUCAACAGAAACAAAUCAGAGUUAAAACUCCUCCCCUGAUGAUGGAUACCUCACUACUUCCAAGACCUCCAGCUCAAGAAAACACAUCACAUCUAUCACUCUCUUGGUCAAAAAGUCCACCAUUUAUUUAUGAUUUUCGCUUUUCUGUUUUAAGAGUUUAACAUCUGCUCUUAAUAAUGAUAAUAACUUU